AUCUCCGCUUCUGGGCUUGGUAAAAUCUAUAUAUUAUUCCUAUGCAUGCAUGUGGUUCUGUUCCUAUAGUUGUGGUGCGCAUGCUCCGCUUGGCGUUUAUCGGGCCGCCAUACCUCCGCUCUUAUUCAGUCACGCAAACUGACACUUCAGUUUUGACCGUGACAUCAUUCUUUGCUAAAUUAUUAGUAUUUAAUACAUAUGCAUAUUCAUUGCAUCUCUCUAUAUAACUGGCGCAGACCAGGUCAACCGUAGAAUCCAGACAGUUCCUGUACUGUGUUUGUGUUUCUGACUGUAAGCUUAUCUUUCAGAGAAUCUACGAGUCCAUGAAUCAAAACGGAUAGAUCGAUGGUUGAUCACCAAUUGGAAUGUCACAAAUGGGCUCGUGAUUGCUCGUUUUAAACACCCGGCCGUCGAACGUUGCUAAAUACUAGAAAGUUAUCCAAGUGUUAACUUCAUAUCGCCUGGCAUAAGUCCAAAGUUAUGAGUGAUCAACAUGCAGCAUAUUUGGAUUGCUUUUUUACCCACCUUGACGUUUGUAGCUUUGGUGUCAGCAAUUCAAAGAGAACUAGAAAAUACAGAUAAACACGACUGGCAUUGGAUUAUGAAACGAUCGA